AUGGCCGGGAUGUGCCGGGGAUCUGGGGAUGGGCUGCGGGCGGCCGUGACCCUGCUGGAGUCCGGGGGGGACCUCCAGCCCCCCGGGGGGUCCCUGCGCCUCCUCUGCCGCGCCUCCGGCUUCGAUUUCGGGGGUUUUGGGAUGGGCUGGAUGCGCCAGAGACCCGGGCAGGGGCUGGAAGCCAUUGCAGCAAUCAGUAAGAUUGGCAACACCACCUACGCUAAUUCAGUCAAGGGCCGGGUCAGGAUCUCCAGGGACAACGGGCAGAGCUCGGUGACGCUGACCAUGAGCAGCCUCAGGGACGAGGAUUCCGGAUCCUAUUUCUGCGCCAAAGGGGCUGGUCUUAAUGCUUACGCUGCUGAUAUUUGUCGUCCCAGCCCCGCCCCGAGGCACAGCCCCGACCCCAAUCUGCCCCACCGGCCUCACAUCGGGGCUCUGGGCCCAAAGUUUGAAUGCCUGAGCCCCGACCUCAACCUGGGCCCCAAAUCCUGA